GGCCCCGUAGCUCAGCUGGAUAGAGCGUCCCCCUCCUAGGGGAAGGUCGCCCGUUCGAAUCGGGCCGGGGUCACCA
rnacentral:tRNA from 1 species